UACGUAGGGGGCUAGCGUUGUCCGGAAUCAUUGGGCGUAAAGCGCGCGUAGGCGGGAUGGCAAGUCGGUCGUGAAAUCUCUCGGCUCAACCGAGAAACGUCGGCCGAUACUGCCGUUCUUGAGGGAUGCAGAGGAGACUGGAAUUCCCGGUGUAGCGGUGAAAUGUGUAGAGAUCGGGAGGAACACCGGUGGCGAAGGCGGGUCUCUGGGCAUUUCCUGACGCUGAGGCGCGAAAGCGUGGGGAGCAAACGGG
rnacentral:rRNA from 1 species